UACGUAGGGGGCGAGCGUUGUCCGAAGUUACUGGGCGUAAAGCGCGCGUAGGCGGCUCUUUAAGUCUGGCGUGAAAGGUUCAGGGCUCAACCCGAACAGUGCGCUGGAGACUGGAGAGCUUGAGGACGGGAGAGGGAAGCGGAAUUCCGGGUGUAGCGGUGAAAUGCGUAGAUAUCCGGAGGAACACCGAUGGCGAAGGCAGCUUCCUGGCCCGUAUCUGACGCUGAGGUGCGAAAGCGUGGGGAGCGAGCGGG
rnacentral:rRNA from 1 species